rnacentral:rRNA from 1 species
GAUGAACGCUGGCGGCGUGCUUAACACAUGCAAGUCGAACGGAAAGGCCCAAGCUUGCUUGGGUACUCGAGUGGCGAACGGGUGAGUAACACGUGUGUGAUCUGCCCUGCACUUCGGGAUAAGCCUGGGAAACUGGGUCUAAUACCGGAUAGGACCACAUUUUGGAUGGUGUGGUGGAAAGUUUUUCGGUGUGGGAUGGGCUCGCGGCCUAUCAGCUUGUUGGUGGGGUAAUGGCCUACCAAGGCGUCGACGGGUAGCCGGCCUGAGAAGGUGUACGGCCACAUUGGGACUGAGAGACGGACCAGACGCCUACGGGAGGCAGCAGUGGGGAAUAUUGCACAAUGGGCGCAAGCCUGAUGCAGCGACGCCGCGUGGGGGAUGACGGCCUUCGGGUUGUAAACUCCUUUCGCUAGGGACGAAGCGCAAGUGACGGUACCUGGAGAAGAAGCACCGGCUAACUACGUG